CUACGGGACGCUCCAGCGAGGAAUAUUGCACAAUGGGGGGAACCCUGAUGCAGCAACGCCGCGUGGAGGAUGACGCAUUUCGGUGUGUAAACUCCUUUUAUAUGUCAAGAAAAUGACGGUAGCACAUGAAUAAGCACCGGCUAACUCCGUGCCAGCAGCCGCGGUAAUACGGAGGGUGCAAGCGUUACUCGGAAUCACUGGGCGCAUAGGACGCGUAGGCGGGUUGGAAAGUCAGGUGUGAAAUCCUACAGCUUAACUGUAGAACUGCACUUGAAACUUCUAAUCUAGAGUAUGGGAGGGGGAGAUGGAAUUAGUGGUGUAGGGGUAAAAUCCGUAGAUAUCACUAGGAAUACCUAAAGCGAAGGCGAUCUCCUGGAACAUUACUGACGCUAAGGCGUGAAAGCGUGGGGAGCAAACAGGAUUAGAUACCCUAGUAGUC
rnacentral:rRNA from 1 species